rnacentral:rRNA from 1 species
GCUCAUCACAUCCUGGGGCUGAAGUAGGUCCCAAGGGUAUGGCUGUUCGCCAUUUAAAGUGGUACGCGAGCUGGGUUUAGAACGUCGUGAGACAGUUCGGUCCCUAUCUGCCGUGGGCGCUGGAGAAUUGAGGGGGGCUGCUCCUAGUACGAGAGGACCGGAGUGGACGCAUCACUGGUGUUCGGGUUGUCAUGCCAAUGGCAUUGCCCGGUAGCUAAAUGCGGAAGAGAUAAGUGCUGAAAGCAUCUAAGCACGAAACUUGCCCCGAGAUGAGUUCUCCCUGAGACUAUAAGUCUCCUGAAGGAACGUUGAAGACGACGACGUUGAUAGGCCGGGUGUGUAAGCGCAGCGAUGCGUUGAGCUAACCGGUACUAAUGAACCGUGAGGCUUAACCUUACAACGCCGAAGCUGUU